UACGUAGGGGGCUAGCGUUGUUCGGAAUCACUGGGCGUAAAGCGCACGUAGGCGGAUCUUUAAGUCAGGGGUGAAAUCCCGGGGCUCAACCUCGGAACUGCCUUUGAUACUGAGGAUCUUGAGUUCGGGAGAGGUGAGUGGAACUGCGAGUGUAGAGGUGAAAUUCGUAGAUAUUCGCAAGAACACCAGUGGCGAAGGCGGCUCACUGGCCCGAUACUGACGCUGAGGUGCGAAAGCGUGGGGAGCAAACAGG
rnacentral:rRNA from 1 species